rnacentral:rRNA from 1 species
UACGUAGGGUGCAAGCGUUGUCCGGAAUUAUUGGGCGUAAAGAGCUCGUAGGCGGUUCGUCGCGUCGGCUGUGAAAUCCCGAGGCUCAACCUCGGGUCUGCAGUCGAUACGGGCGGACUGGAGUACUGUAGGGGAGACUGGAAUUCCUGGUGUAGCGGUGAAAUGCGCAGAUAUCAGGAGGAACACCGGUGGCGAAGGCGGGUCUCUGGGCAGUUACUGACGCUGAGGAGCGAAAGCGUGGGGAGCAAACAGG